AAAUUUUACAACCAGUUAAAUUUGUCGCUCAAUUUUAGAAGUUUAAAAGUUUGUUUCUGUUUUAAUUGUUUAAUCAUAAGAUUUGUAAUCUGAGGGAUAUGAUUAUCUUUUAUUCAAAAAUCGACGAGUUUUCCUGAGGAUGAGGACUGGAUCCUCGAAACAUGUAGAAUUUAAAUAAAUAUAACAUUGAAAAGUAUA